rnacentral:rRNA from 1 species
UACAGAGGUGCCGAGCGUUAGGCGGAAUCACUGGGCUUAAAGCGUGUGUAGGCGGACGUCUAAGUACCUUGUGAAAUCCCACGGCUCAACCGUGGAACUGCUUGGUAUACUGCGGAUCUUGAGCCACCUAGGGGCGAGCGGAACAAGUGGUGGAGCGGUGAAAUGCGUAGAUAUCACUUGGAACGCCAAUGGUGAAAACAGCUCGCUGGGGGUGUGCUGACGCUGAGACACGAAAGCCAGGGGAGCAAACGGG